CUGCAGAUCCCGGGGCUGAGAGCACGGCGCACCGCGCACCGCGCACCGCACACCGCGCCGAGCCCGGCGGAGCAGCCGAGGAGAGCUAGCGAGCGCUGGCCAGCGGACGGGGGACGAGGUCGGAGCCGAGUCGCCGGGCGGGCCGCUCCCUGCAGGGCUCUGCGCGGUGCCGCGGCAGCCGCCGGCUCCCACUCCGGGCCAUGAGCCCCUCCACUGCUCGGCGUUGAGCCCACUAACGGCCCCGUGCCCAGGAUCUGCUGCCGGCUGCGGGCUUCCCGAAGCCCUCUCAGGAUCCCCCUGGCAAGGAUGGAACUGAAGGCUGAGGAGGAGGAAGUGGGUGGCGUCCAGCCAGUCAGCAUCCAGGCCUUCGCCAGCAGCUCCACCCUGCACGGCCUGGCCCACAUCUUCUCCUAUGAGCGGCUGUCUCUGAAGCGGGCACUGUGGGCCCUGUGCUUCCUGGGCUCACUAGCUGUGCUGCUGUGUGUGUGCACGGAGCGUGUACAGUACUACUUUCACUACCACCACGUCACCAAGCUCGACGAGGUGGCUGCUUCCCAGCUCACCUUCCCUGCCAUCACGCUGUGCAACCUCAAUGAGUUCCGCUUUAGCCAAGUCUCCAAGAAUGACCUGUACCAUGCUGGGGAGCUGUUAGCUCUGCUCAACAACAGGUAUGAGAUACCAGACACGCAGAUGGCUGAUGAAAAGCAGCUGGAGAUACUGCAGGACAAGGCCAACUUCCGAAGCUUCAAGCCCAAGCCCUUCAACAUGCGUGAAUUCUAUGAUCGUGCAGGACACGACAUUCGAGACAUGUUGCUCUCCUGCCACUUCCGGGGAGAGGUCUGCAGCGCUGAAGACUUCAAGGUGGUCUUCACACGGUAUGGAAAGUGCUACACAUUCAACUCGGGCCGAGAUGGCCGACCUCGGCUGAAGACCAUGAAGGGUGGGACAGGCAAUGGGCUGGAGAUCAUGCUGGACAUCCAGCAGGACGAAUACCUGCCAGUGUGGGGGGAGACGGAUGAGACAUCCUUCGAAGCAGGCAUCAAAGUACAGAUCCACAGUCAGGAUGAACCUCCUUUCAUCGACCAGCUGGGCUUUGGUGUGGCCCCAGGCUUCCAGACCUUUGUGGCUUGCCAGGAGCAGAGGCUCAUCUACCUGCCCCCGCCCUGGGGCACCUGCAAAGCUGUUGCCAUGGACUCGGAUUUCUUCGACUCUUAUAGCAUCACUGCCUGCCGCAUUGACUGUGAGACACGUUACCUGGUGGAAAACUGCAACUGCCGCAUGGUGCAUAUGCCAGGGGAUGCCCCAUACUGCACUCCAGAGCAGUACAAAGAAUGUGCAGACCCUGCCCUGGACUUCCUGGUGGAGAAGGACCAAGAGUACUGCGUGUGUGAAAUGCCCUGCAAUCUGACCCGCUAUGGCAAGGAGCUGUCCAUGGUCAAGAUACCCAGCAAAGCCUCAGCCAAGUACCUGGCCAAGAAGUUCAACAAGUCUGAGCAGUACAUAGGGGAGAACAUCCUGGUGCUGGAUAUUUUCUUUGAAGUCCUCAACUAUGAGACCAUUGAGCAGAAGAAAGCCUAUGAGAUUGCAGGGCUCCUGGGUGAGCUGCUGAUGGUACCUGUCCCCGCUCCAUGCCUUUGGCAUGGUGUGGCUCCCUACUGCUGAUAGCAGGGUGCUGUCUUUGUCCUGUCCCCAGGGCCUUUUUCCCAAACCCGGUUGUCACAGUGACAUCGGGGGCCAGAUGGGGCUGUUCAUCGGGGCUAGCAUCCUCACGGUGCUGGAGCUCUUUGACUACGCCUACGAGGUCCUUAAGCACAAGCUGUGCAAACGCGGGAAGUGCCAGAAAGAGGCCAAGAGGAGCAGCGCAGACAAGGGUGUGGCGCUCAGCCUGGAUGACGUCAAAAGACACAACCCGUGCGAGAGCCUCCGGGGCCAUCCUGCCGGGAUGACUUACGCUGCCAACAUCCUACCUCACCAUCCGGCUCGAGGCACGUUUGAGGACUUUACCUGCUGAGCCCCGCAGGCCACUGUACCAAAGGCCUAGGUGGGGAGGGCUAGGAGAGCAAGGGGCCCCAGCUGCCCCCCACAUCAGCCCUGGGGACUCACCUGCAUUUCCGGGCAGUCCUUUCCUCGUCUCUGUGGUGAGGAAGGAGUCUUGACCACAGAGCCCUCUCCCUGCCUCUAUCCUAUUCUUUUUAUUUUAACAAAACUAAACUAAUCUGAACAAGAGAAUGGGCAAGGGCCCUCAGGCUGCCCCUCUCUGCUCCAUGCUGCCCACCCCCAGCUCCCAGCCUGAAUUGUGUCUGUCUGGCUGUCUGUCAACUGAGUGUCCACCUACAUUCUGCUGCCACCUGUCACCAAAGCCCCCUCCCAGUGAGGGGUGGAGGGAAUCCCUGGGGUCUGGAUUUUGGCCCCAAAUCAGAGAAUGUACUUUAUGGGGGAGGGCUGGUGGGGAGGGUUCCCCAGCCUUAAGAGACCCUCUCAGCCAGUGACUCCCCCCAAAACCCAAUUCUCCAGGCAGGAACUAAAAGCCCCAUCCUACUCCCUCAUACCAUGUGGAAUUUCUAUGGGUGAGGGGGUUCCCUGAAAAAGUGGAAACGGGGACACAAUAUGGCCCUGGUGCUGUAGGCCACAUUCUGAUACCUACAAGUUUGCUUCCCCCCCCCCCCCAAGUAGCUCUCUUCUAGUCCCCAGAAAGACCUGGCUGGUUAGCUCCAGCUCAGGGGGAGGGGCAUUGGUGCCUGGCCUCACUGGCCCCUCCCCCAGAAGGCCCUCUGCAAGGGCCACAUCCAUAAAUUUUCUUAUGGAACUCUCCCAAGUCCUCUCCUCCGACUUCAUUUGCUUCUUUUGACAACCUCAUCUGCAUUUUCUAUUUCUAUAUGAUACAGACUCUAUAUUGCUAUAUCUCUGUAUAUACUUUCCUCUAACCCUGUCUUGUCUCCACCCAUCCCCUCUUGUCUCUGACAACCAUCCUCACACCCCAAGUUCCCCUUCUGUGUUUCUUUCCCUCCCCUGUCUGAAUGCCUUCGCCUGUAUAAAGAGUUGGAUUCUCUCCCCUGGUGUCUGUACUGUGUACACACAUCCCUCUGAGAAGCACAAGGAGACGACCCGCGCAUUGUAACCUUCGCACUGUCUCGGUGGCGACAUAAAGGAAGCUGUGAAUCACAAGCUCUGCCUCUUUCUGGCCUCAUCCUCUCCCCCCAGUCCGGGCACCUUCUGCCCUCCCUGCAGCCUUAACAUUCCCUUUCCCUGCUCCACCUAUCCCAAUGCCCUUUGCCUGGCUGACUGCGGCCCCCCAGGGAAGGGGCUGCUACAGAGGUAGUCCCUGCCCAGGGAAUGGAAAGCUGCACUGGACACUACUAAAUCAAGAAUGUUAGAAACAGAGGGAGCUGGGGAUUGGUGACUUACGCAUCUGGGGCAGUGGGUGCCCAAAGGCAGAUGCUGAGGUCCUCAUCAGUGGCCUUUCACUCCUUCUGGGUGCCCAGCCCCCCUUCCUCACCUGAUGCCCAAGCCCACCACUUACACAUUCUGGUGAAGCAAGGUUUGGUCAUGGGAAGAAUGAGGCAGGCCCAGAGGAGGAGUGCAAAGCUCUGCUGUUCUAGCCUUCCCUAUCUUAAAGAGAGGCAAGAGAGGUAGAGGGCUUGCCCCACCCCCUCCUCCCAGGCCAGAGCCCCAACCUCUUUCCAGGUCCUCUCUGCCCAGCUGUCUUUCGAUCUCCAAUUCCGGAGCAGGACCCAUGGGCGAGUCACCUGUGUGUUGGCCUGAAGUUGGAGAGUAAGGCUAUAGGAUCUUCGGGAACUCUUGGUUGCCCAGAGAUCAGUCCUACCCACGGGGAAGCAGGAGCAAGGCCAAGAAGAGUGUGCUGGUUGGGGGAACAGUAGGCAGAGCUCUUUUUGGGUGACGCAUGCCUCUGGUCUAAUAAACUGGGUUCCAACCAUCUCUUUUUCA